UACAGAGGUCUCAACCGUUGUUCGGAUUUAUUGGGCGUAAAGGGUGCGUAGGCGGUCGCGUAAGUCGGAUGUGAAAUCUCAGGGCUCAACCCUGAAACUGCAUUCGAUACUGCGUGGCUAGGGUACUGGAGAGGAGACUGGAAUUUACGGUGUAGCAGUGAAAUGCGUAGAUAUCGUAAGGAAGACCAGUGGCGAAGGCGAGUCUCUGGACAGUUACCGACGCUGAGGCACGAAGGCCAGGGGAGCAAACGGG
rnacentral:rRNA from 1 species